UCAGGCAAAAUUCACUGAUAGCAGACAUGGGAGAUGCCAGUCUGGAGAGAGAAAAAUCAGAGCCUGCAGAAUUAUACAAAUAUAGGACAGCUCCAGAAAAUAUGUACGGGGGAAGCAGAUAUACUCAUAUAAAUGAAUAUCACAGAGAAAGGCACAGCAGACUAGACAAAUUGGACUUCAGAUAAACAAUGGCGUGGAUGGCUCUUCAUUUUCUUAUUUUCUCCCCUUUAAUGUUCACGAGCAUUAAGUCAAUAACACAAAGCAUCCAACAAAAGGGAUAUUGAGUUUCAUCUCCAAGUAAGAAGCUGUUGCAUAUUUUUCAUCUCCAGGUAAGAAACUAUAGCAUAUUAAGUGGGUCUCAGGAGUAAACAAGGUUUUUUUAGACUGAAGAAAAACAUUCGCACAGGGCCAAACCAAUGAAAGAUCUCUAAACUAUUGGUGGGGACAGAAUAUAGAGCCAAGGAAGUAGGAAACCUGUGAACAGAAAAUUGCAGUGUUUGAUGAGAGCUAUAUUCCAUGUGUUUAAUUUGAAAUAACCAGCUGAAUCAUAGUCUGCAGGUGCCUACUGCCAUCUUAGAGUUCCUUAAGGAGUAUUCUCUAGCACUUACUUUAUUAUUCUGUGUUUCUCUUUCCAAGUGCAUUACUCCAGGCAUCCUAUGACUUGUUUUCUACAGCUGAACAUUUUUAGUAGAAUUGAUUUCUUGGAUGUCUAGUGCAUCUUAAUUUGCAUAACUAAGUGCAUAACUCUACACAUUCCCAAAUUUAUUUAUUAUUAUUUUUUUUAAAUUCCUGCUGACAAAGUGGGAUUGCCCUGGGGAAGAUACAAUUCUAGCGUGAGAGAGAACAAUCUCCAAAACUGAUCAGCCUGCUUGCAAAUUCUUCAUGAUUUAAAUUGUGUAUGUCCAAAUGAUUGGUAAUAGAUACAUGAUUGCAUGUCUCUGACACACAAGGAUGGGCAACAUCUCAGAGGUAGAGCACAUGCAUGGAAGGAUUCAGGGGGCUCAGCCUCAGCUCUCCUCCAAAAUGAUCAUUGCGGGGGAGUGGUGGGGGAAACUAAAGGCAGACUCAAUCUUAGCAGUCGGCUGAGAGCCAGUGUGUGCAGUAGGAAAACUCUGUGGUAAGGAUGUGCAUUCGAAUUUGAAUCAAUUCAGCUCAAAACUGGGUGAUUUGAGUGAUUCAAAUUUGAAUCAAAUCACUCAUUAAAAGGGCAAUUAGAUUAGAAUUUUUAAAUUUUUGAUUUGAAUUUGAUUUGAGGGCUGUUUGGCACAUUUUUAAAACCAUUUUGGGGCCCUGACUGGUGAAAAAGGUGCCCAAACAGGCUUGAAUCGAUUAAAAUUCAAAACAAAUUUUCAAAAUCAAUUUGAACUUGAAAUGAAUUCUCAAAAUUUUGAUUUGAUUUGAAUUCAAAUCAAAUCUAAAAAUUUGAUUCAAAAUCCGAUGUGAUACACAUCCCUACUCUGUAGUCUUUACUCUGCCAUGAAGUUCAUGGGGCGACCUUUGAUCAGUUACCCUUUCUUGGCCUAACCUACCUAUCAGGAGGAUUGAAGGAAUAUAUAGAAUCAUUGUGGGGAAAGGAGCCUUGCACACUACCCUGAGAUCUCUAAAGGAAGAGAGGGGUAGAAAUGUAGCUUACAUUGUGGAUAUGGGCUAUAAAUCCUCCAUACUGUAUUAGAGCCAGAUUGGGACUGUAUGCUCAGGAAGCUGAGCAGAAAAGCCCAGAUCUGAGCAGUACAUGGGUGGCAGGUGUUACCCCUGCUUUCUUGUGCUGUCUGCUGUCCUGUUUUUUCCCCCCUUGUUGAGAGUGGAAAGGAUAU